UACAGAGGGGGCAAGCGUUGCUCGGAAUUACUGGGCGUAAAGGGCGCGUAGGCGGCCUGUUAAGUCGAACGUGAAAUCCCCGGGCUCAACCCGGGAACUGCGUCCGAUACUGGCAGGCUUGAAUUCGGGAGAGGGAUGCGGAAUUCCAGGUGUAGCGGUGAAAUGCGUAGAUAUCAAGAGGAACACCUGAGGUGAAGACGGGUUGCUGGGCUGACACUGACGCUGAGGCGCGAAAGCUAGGGUAGCAAACGGG
rnacentral:rRNA from 1 species